CUGGACUCUACCCUCGCCAGGGCUUUCCUCCCAGAGGCUCGCUUUCAAACGCUUGCAGCCGCCAUACGCAGCCUCCAAGCUUUCCCAACUUCGACAGCCCGCUGCUGCCUCAGCCUCAUGGGCCAUAUGGCAUCAUGCACCUUCGUGACAGCCCACGCCAGGUUACGCCUGCGGCCCCUCCAAGCAUGGCUGGCCUCCGCAUACCGACCACACAGGGACAACCUCGAUAUGAUUCUGACGGUCCCAUCGCAAGUCCUAGCCUCCCUCAACUGGUGGCUGGACCCCGCACAUGUGAUGUCAGGUAUUCCCUUUCAUCCACCUCAGCCUUCCCGCACCGUGACUACGGAUGCCUCAUCCCUCGGCUGGGGGGCUCACCUGCUGAACUUCCAAACGCAGGGCCUGUGGUCGGAGCAAGAGCUGACGCUACACAUCAAUGUCAGAGAACUUCGAGCGGUACGACUCGCCUGCCAAGCCUUUGCUCAGCAUCUACAGGGCCGCUGUGUCUCCAUCCUUACAGACAACACGACGGCCAUGCAUUACAUCAACAGACAGGGAGGAGCGCACUCCCUUCCUCUCUGCCGAGAGGCAACUCAGCUCUGGGACUUUUGCAUAGCCCGUUCCAUUCACCCCGUGGCCUCGUUUCUCCCAGGAGCCCAGAACACCUUGGCGGACCGCCUGAGCAGGUCCUUCCAGGCGCACGAGUGGUCCAUUCGGCCAGACGUCAUCCACUCUGUCUUCCAGAAGUGGGGGUUUCCCCAGAUAGAUCUCUUCGCGACUCGCGAGAACAGGAAAUGCCAAGUGUUCUGCUCCUUUCAGGGUCGCUCCCCAGGCUCCCUGACAGACGCUUUUCUCCAUCCUUGGACAGACAACCUGGCCUAUGCCUUCCCACCAGUUCCACUGGUCCACAGGGUCCUGCUCAAGCUACGCAGGGACAAGGCCAGGGUGAUCCUGAUUGCUCCAGCGUGGCCCAGGCAACACUGGUAUACCACGCUCCUGGAGAUGUCCGUGACAGACCCGAUCCCUCUACCGAGAUGGCCGGACCUGAUCACGCAGCAGCACGGCAGGAUCCAGCAUCCCGACCUGCGGUCCCUUCACCUCACGGCGUGGAUGCUGCAUGGCUGAACCCGUCGGAGCUGCGAUGUUCCAGCCCGGUCCAGCACGUUCUGCUGAGCAGUAGGAAACCCUCCACCAGGUCCACCUACACAGCUAAGUGGAAACGUUUUUCC
rnacentral:lncRNA from 1 species